UUGCAUUGCGGCAGCUACACAUGCAGUCGAACGAACUCUUCGGAGUUAGUGGCGGACGGGUGAGUAACACGUGGGAACGUGCCUUUAGGUUCGGAAUAACUCAGGGAAACUUGUGCUAAUACCGAAUGUGCCCUUCGGGGGAAAGAUUUAUCGCCUUUAGAGCGGCCCGCGUCUGAUUAGCUAGUUGGUGAGGUAAAGGCUCACCAAGGCGACGAUCAGUAGCUGGUCUGAGAGGAUGAUCAGCCACAUUGGGACUGAGACACGGCCCAAACUCCUACGGGAGGCAGCAGUGGGGAAUCUUGCGCAAUGGGCGAAAGCCUGACGCAGCCAUGCCGCGUGAAUGAUGAAGGUCUUAGGAUUGUAAAAUUCUUUCAGUAGGGACGAUAAUGACGGUACCUACAGAAGAAGCCCCGGCUAACUUCGUGCCAGCAGCCGCGGUAAUACGAAGGGGGCUAGCGUUGCUCGGAAUUACUGGGCGUAAAGGGAGCGUAGGCGGACAUUUAAGUCAGGGGUGAAAUCCCGGGGCUCAACCUCGGAAUUGCCUUUGAUACUGGGUGUCUUGAGUGUGAGAGAGGUAUGUGGAACUCCGAGUGUAGAGGUGAAAUUCGUAGAUAUUCGGAAGAACACCAGUGGCGAAGGCGACAUACUGGCUCAUUACUGACGCUGAGGCUCGAAAGCGUGGGGAGCAAACAGGAUUAGAUACCCUGGUAGUCCACGCCGUAAACGAUGAUUGCUAGUUGUCGGGAUGCAUGCAUUUCGGUGACGCAGCUAACGCAUUAAGCAUCCGCCUGGGGAGUACGGUCGCAAGAUUAAACUCAAAGGAAUUGACGGGGGCCCGCACAAGCGGUGGAGCAUGUGGUUAAUUCGAAGAACGCGCAGACCUUACCACCUUUUGACUGCCUGGACCGCAGAAGAUCUGGCUAUCCCUUCGGGAUAGGACCAGGUGCUGCAGGCUGUCGUCACUCGUGUCUGGGAUGUGGGUAAGUACCGCACGAGCGCAGCCUCGCCAUAGUUGCAUCUUUAGUGGAAGCUAUGGGACUGCCG
rnacentral:rRNA from 1 species